rnacentral:rRNA from 1 species
AAUUUCCUAGGGGGCGUCAAAGCCUACCGAAGAAUAUCAAACUCCGAAUGCCGCGUAAUCGAUUAUCGGGAGUCAGACUGCACGAGAUAAGUUGGGCGGUCAAAAGGGAAAGAGCCCAGACCUUCAGUUAAGGUCCCCAAGUGCGCGUUAAGUGGAAAAGGAUGUGGGAUUUCGAAGACAACCAGGAUGUUGGCUCAGAAGCAGCCAUCCAUUCAAAGAGUGCGUAAUAGCUCACUGGUCGAGAGGUCCUGCGCCGAAAAUGUCCGGGGCUGAAACGCGCCACCGAAACUAAGGAACCGAAAGGUUGGUAGAGGAGCAUUGCAUGCGGGAAGAAGCAGUACCGAAAGGAGCUGUGGACUGCAUGGAAGAGAGAAUGCCGGAAUGAGUAGCGAGAAUAAGGUGAGAAUCCUUAUGGCCGAAUAUCCAAGGUUUCCAGAGUAAAGCUGAUCUGCUCUGGGUAAGUCGGGGCCUAAGGCGAGGACGAGAGUCGUAGCCGAUGGACAACAGGUGGAGAUUCCUGUACUGCGGUAUGACAGAACUGUGGGGACACGUAAGGAAAGCGGAAGCCGGGAAUGGAAAGCCCGGUGCAAGCGGGGUACCAGCCACUUUGGCAAAUCCGGGUGGCAAUGGGAAGCCGUGAUGCGGAGCGAAAUAAAGUAGCGAAGUCCGUGAGCCAUGCGUCAAGAAAAGCCGCUAUUGUUUAUACCGUACCCGUACCGUAAACCGACACAGGUGGAUGAGGAGAGAAUCCUAAGGCCGGCGGAAGAAGCAUUGUCAAGGAACUCGGCAAAAUGACCCCGUAACUUCGGGAGAAGGGGUGCCUGCGAGAGCAGGCCGCAGAGAAUAGGCUCAAGCAACUGUUUAGCAAAAACACAGGUCUAUGCGAAACCGAAAGGUGAGGUAUAUGGGCUGACGCCUGCCCGGUGCUGGAAGGUUAAGAGGAGAGGUUAGCGCAAGCGAAGCUUUGAAUUUAAGCCCCAGUAAACGGCGGCCGUAACUAUAACGGUCCUAAGGUAGCGAAAUUCCUUGUCGGGUAAGUUCCGACCCGCACGAAAGGCGUAAUGAUUUGAGCGCUGUCUCGACAAUGCAUCCGGUGAAAUUGAAGUACCAGUGAAGAUGCUGGUUACCUGCGCCAGGACGGAAAGACCCCAUGGAGCUUUACUCCAGUCUGGUACUGGGACUCGGUAUUGCAUGUACAGGAUAGGUGGGAGGCUAGGAGAUGGUAACGCCAGUUGCCAUGGAGCCGCUGUUGGGAUACCACCCUUGCAGUAUUGGGUUUCUAACCAGCCGCCGUGACCCGGCGGUGGGACAAUGCCAGACGGGGAGUUUGACUGGGGCGGUCGCCUCCGAAAGGGUAUCGGAGGCGCCCAAAGGUUCCCUCAGAAUGGACGGAAACCAUUCGAAGAGUGCAAAGGCAGAAGGGAGCUUGACUGCGACACCGACGGGUGGAGCAGGUACGAAAGUAGGGCUUAGUGAUCCGGUGGUAUUAAGUGGGAAUGCCAUCGCUCAACGGAUAAAAGCUACCCUGGGGAUAACAGGCUUAUCACUCCCAAGAGUUCACAUCGACGGAGUGGUUUGGCACCUCGAUGUCGGCUCAUCGCAUCCUGGGGCUGUAGUAGGUCCCAAGGGUUGGGCUGUUCGCCCAUUAAAGCGGUACGCGAGCUGGGUUCAGAACGUCGUGAGACAGUUCGGUCCCUAUCCGGCGUGGGCGUAGGAUAUUUGAGAGGAGCUGUCCUUAGUACGAGAGGACCGGGAUGGACUGACCUCUGGUGCACCGGUUGUCAUGCCAAUGGCACAGCCGGGUAGCCAAGUCGGGAAGGGAUAAACGCUGAAGGCAUCUAAGCGUGAAGCCCCCCUCAAGAUGAGAUAUCCCAUACGCAGGUAGUAAGACCCCUUGA